rnacentral:rRNA from 1 species
CAGUAGCCGCGGGAAUACGUAGGUGGCAAGCGUUGUCCGGAAUUAUUGGGCGUAAAGGGCUCGCAGGCGGUUUCUUAAGUCUGAUGUGAAAGCCCCCGGCUCAACCGGGGAGGGUCAUUGGAAACUGGGAAACUUGAGUGCAGAAGAGGAGAGUGGAAUUCCACGUGUAGCGGUGAAAUGCAUAGAGAUGUGGAGGAACACCAGUGGCGAAGGCGACUCUCUGGUCUGUAACUGACGCUGAGGAGCGAAAGCGUGGGGAGCGAACAGGAUUAGAUACCCCGGUAGUCCCUGUCUCUUAUAC